UGUUCUCUCUGGUUUGAUUGCCUUUGCGUGAGUGAGUGUUGUGAGAAAGUUAAGCUUCUAACUCAGAAACCUAACAUUAUUGGUAGGUAAUAACUGGUGGUGUCAUAUAGAUAGGAUCAACUCAACAACUUUUUAAUAAAACCCUGUUCUAUGCCUAUUCUAACAGUCAUCUCUGAGGAAUACUACGGUACUUGAAAAAGGAAGAUAUGGAAUAUUGUAACAUUGUUUUGCUAAAAUGAUCUCAAUAUCUUUACUGGAAUACAAUCUGUAUGAUUUACAAAUGAUUCAUGCGUUCUAAUUUUCAUGUCAUUAUACAUAAUAGGCCGUCACUAGAGUAAAGCCGUACAUUUGCACUAUGCCACUAAGAAUGGAUGACGGCUGGAAUCAAAUACAGUUUAACCUGGCUGAUUUCACCAAGAGAGCAUAUGGUACUAAUUAUGUGGAGACGCUGCGAGUUCAGGUUCAUGCAAACUGUCGCCUGAGAAGGAUAUACUUCUCUGAUCGCCUCUACUCUGAAGAAGAACUCCCACCCGAGUUCAAAUUGUACCUUCCAAUGCAGAAAUCAUGAAUAUGUUGUUGAAGGAUGGAAUGGAGCUUGGAGAGAGAGUUGGAUGUUAUAUUUAUGCAUGCUACAGAUAAUAAGUAUAAUAUUGGACUCUAUUCUAAAAUUUGUAUGUAUGUUGUGCUAGAUCCUAUAUUAACUUUUGCAACAGCUUGUUCCUGACUUGUGUAGGAGGUUCAGAUAUGCUUAUCUCUUAUAUUUGAGGUUAAUUUUAUGAUGUUGUGCUUUGCUUUAAAUGCACUGCUUUACUGAUGUAUGUGCUGAUAUCUGCUUAUCCAAUGAAGGAUUUCCAUU